GUGAAUCAUCGAAUCUUUGAACGCACCUUGCACCCUUUGGUAUUCCGAAGGGUACACCCGUUUGAGUGUCAUUGUAAUCUCACUACAACUACUUUAUUGUUGUUUGUAUGUGGAUCUGGAUGUUGCCGUGUAACAAACGGCUCGUCUGAAAUGCCUGAGUGUACCCUGCUUUGCGGCGUAUUCGGUGUGAUAAAUCUUCACCGGAGUUGACUUUCGGGUCGCGUUCUGCUUAACACGGCUCUAUGCUUCCAACCGUCCUAACAAGACAACCUUUGACAAUUUGACCUCAAAUCGGGUGGG
rnacentral:misc_RNA from 1 species